GAUCAACGCUGGCGGCGUGCCUUACGCAUGCAAGUCGCACGGUAUCGGCUUCGGUCGGUACAGUGGCGGACGGGUGAGGAACACGUACGUGACCUGCCCCAAAGUGGGGGAUACCGGUUCGAAGGGACCGCUAAUACCGCAUGUGGUCUUCUGGUUGCGAGCAGAAGAGUAAACCAGUACUGGGCUUUGGGAGGGGCGUGCGGCGGAUUAGCUCGUUGGUGGGGUAACGGCCUACCAAGGCGACGANCCGUAGCUGGUCUGAGAGGACGGCCAGCCACACGGGGACUGAGACACGGCCCCGACUCCUACGGGAGGCAGCAGCGAGGAAUCUUGGUCAAUGGGCGCAAGCCUGAACCAGCGACGCCGCGUGGGGGA
rnacentral:rRNA from 1 species